AAAGAAUGGUAGUUGUCUUGUUUCCAGAAGAAUCUAACGCUUUCUCGGUCCUCUUCUUCUCCUUCUCUGCAGCGAAUAUGAGUAGCCGAUGGAAUCGUACGAUCUACGUUGGGAAUUUGCCUGGGGAUAUACGCAUGAGAGAGGUUGAAGAUCUCUUCUGCAAGUACGGAACCAUUGUGGACAUUGAUUUGAAGAUUCCACCGAGGCCUCCUGGUUAUGCCUUUGUCGAGUUUGAAGAUCCGCGUGAUGCAGACGAUGCAAUUUAUGGACGAGAUGGAUAUGACUUUGAUGGGUGUCGACUACGGGUUGAGAUUGCACAUGGUGGUCGGAGAGGUUCAUCAUCAGUUGAUAGGUACAGCAGCAGCUACACUGGUAGCCGUGCACCUUCAAGACGUUCCGACUAUCGUGUGCUUGUGACGGGAUUACCACCGUCUGCUUCGUGGCAGGACCUUAAGGAUCACAUGCGCAAAGCUGGAGAUGUCUGCUUUUCGGAAGUUUUUCGUGACCGUGGAGGAAUGUCCGGAGUUGUGGAUUAUAGCAACUAUGAUGAUAUGAAGUAUGCGAUAAGGAAGCUUGAUGACUCUGAGUUUCGAAAUGCUUUCUCGAGAGCUUAUGUACGGGUGAGAGAAUAUGAGUCGAGGAGUGUGAGUCGCAGCCCAUACUAUUCCAGAAGCUAUAGAAGCAGGAGUCGGAGCCGUGGUCGAAGCUAUAGCUAUAGUAGCAGGAGCAGGAGCGUGUCUCCUGCUAGAUCUGUUUCCUCACGUUCACGGUCCGUUUCUCGUUCUCGUUCUCCAUAUAGCUCAGUCUCAAGAUCUGGCUCACUGCUGCGAGCUGGGGAUUGGAUCUUAGGGACUUGAUGGGUCUUCUAGAUGGAUCCUUGUGGAUUUACAAAGCUGGAUUAGCAUGAACUUGAACUUCUGUUUGUCGGUCUGGUUUGGUACUCAGCGCGUAUCAGCUGUAGGAUCUGAUCACAACGUUUUGGACUAUGAUACCUCUGAUUCUUGAAUAUAUUAAUUUUUUUUUGACAUUUCUGAUUCUAUGUUGUGUUCUUUUCUAGGCCAACGCUUAAGAUGGGAGAUGAUUAGUAAAUUGCUUUUGCGAUGCCAUACUUACAGGUUUUUUUUCUUUCUUGCUGCAGGUCCCGAUCAAGAUCGAGAUCGAGCUCUCCAGUUUCACCGGCGAGAUCUGAUUGAUAGGAAAACCUGAUUAGCGGGAAUAGAAGACCGGUAAAUCUGAAUUGUCUCAUCUCGGACUCUACUGGUAUCAAGAUCAAGUGAUUUUAAUUUUGGUUAUCUCCAGUUAUCAUAUCUCUAAAUUAAAAGUAUUGGAACUUUGAUUGGAAAGCCAUACUUCGGCGUGUAUUGGAUAAUGAACGAUAUUAUGUUGAAUAUGAUUUAAUGACAUGUUGAAUAAGUAUCGAUGCGGUU